rnacentral:tRNA from 1 species
UCCCUGUUGGCUUUGUGGUAAAGAAUCUGCCUGCAGUGCAGGUGAUGCAGGUUUGAUCCCUGGUUUGGGAA